rnacentral:rRNA from 1 species
AACGUAGGAGACAAACGUUAUCCGGAGUUACUGGGCGUAAAGGGUGUGUAGGUGGUUUAGUAAGUCUGGCGUGGAAUUUUUCGGCUUAACCGGGAAAGGUCGUCGGAUACUGCUGAGCUAGAGGACGGUAGAGGCGUGUGGAAUUCCGGGUGUAGUGGUGAAAUGCGUAGAGAUCCGGAGGAACACCAGUGGCGAAGGCGACACGCUGGGCCGUACCUGACACUGAUGCGCGACAGCAUGGGGAGCAAACAGG